CCAAAUGAUUGAUGGAUGUGGAGUUAGUGGAGAACUACACUGAAAGGCUUAGUCUGGGACUCUCCACCAAGGUAGAUUUGGCGGUACAGACCCAUUGCUGUGGUACUCCAGAUUGUGAACAGGUGCAUCCAAUGUGCUUUACUUACCCUCGAGAUGCGUCCAGUAUGGAAGAUUAUUUGUGCUGUCACACACGUACCAGCCGCAGGAAAACCUGUCUGAUUCAGAGCUGAUGACGUUGCUUCUGGCACUCAGCAUGACGCCACUUCCGGUUCUGGUGCCUAGAAGAAUGUCACUCCCGGUGCACAGACUGACGUCACUUCCAGUUCCGGUUCCUCUACAUCACUUCCGGUCUGAUCGAUUAAAGCUGCC